AUUUUUCCUCUACUUCUCUUUGGCAAAAGCUGGGUAGCUACCCCUUCAAAAACAUGGCUUUCCUUUACUUCUCUUUCGUAGAAUGACUCCUUUUUCACUCAAACAGCAGCGGGAACAGAAAGGAGACGAAAAGCCACAGCAGCAGAAGAAGAGGAAGAAUAACAAUCCCAUUCGUUUUUCCCGAAAAAAAGAUUCCAGCCGUGGAUAAGACACCGUACAUAUUCAGGACUCCAAUUGAUCUUAUAACGGAAUCGAGAACAGUGUGUUGUUUUACCCCGGAAGAACGCGAGGCUUAUGAAAAGAAGCUCAAGGAGACCGAGCUCACCACAUACUGGUUAUAAAGCUCGUCAGGCUGUGUAAGAGUUCUUGCGGUUGCAGGGAUGCUAUGUAUUAUAUUUACCUUUCAGGCCAAGAAGGAUGGGAAGGCCUAUUCUCCCUGUUCUUCCAAGCUCUAGUUCAUAAUUCUGGGAGGAUGCAUAUCGAGUUUUGCAGGGAGGAGAAAAAACCCAAAUUAACAGAAGGUCCUGGGAGACAUUGAUGCAAUGAUGAGAGGCUUACAUCGCUUUGAGGUUGGUGUUAUGUUAUUUUUGGUGAGGUAUCUUUGAAUUUGGAUACGAAAAAGGAAUUACGUUAAGUUUGUAGUUGGUGCUUUCAAAUUAAUCGUAAACUAUGCACUAUUCUGUCCAAUGGGAAGUUACUUUUUUCUGUAGGCACAUGAGCUUAGUUUUUUCAAAUUACUAGAAGGAUGGGACCUCGUAUUGAUGUCCACAUUUUUUGGGAAAACACAGUUUUGAUUUUGUCGCACCGAUUUUUUUUUGUCCGAGAUCAUGAAUGAACAUUAUAGCAGCAUUACAAUUUCCGAGUAGCCUGGCCAUAAGAGAGGAGAUCAUCCGUGAACAAAAUGCAGCAAAUAGAUGGAUCUCACACACAAAAGCACAUUGCAUUGCAUUUUGUCACCUCAUUCCUAUCUUCAAUUAAAUAGAAAACCAAUUUCUAAUUAUUUUUUUUGGCUGAAAGGGAACAU